GAUGAACGCUGGCGGCGUGCUUAACACAUGCAAGUCGAACGAAGCACUUUAUUUGAUUUCCUUCGGGACUGAUUAUUUUGUGACUGAGUGGCGGACGGGUGAGUAACGCGUGGGUAACCUGCCUUGUACAGGGGGAUAACAGUUGGAAACGGCUGCUAAUACCGCAUAAGCGCACAGCAUCGCAUGAUGCAGUGUGAAAAACUCCGGUGGUAUAAGAUGGACCCGCGUUGGAUUAGCUAGUUGGUGAGGUAACGGCCCACCAAGGCGACGAUCCAUAGCCGAGCUGAGAGGGUGACCGGCCACGUUGGGACUGAGACACGGCCCAAACUCCUACGGGAGGCAGCAGUGGGGAAUAUUGCACAAUGGGCGAAAGCCUGAUGCAGCGACGCCGCGUGAGCGAAGAAGUAUUUCGGUAUGUAAAGCUCUAUCAGCAGGGAAGAUAAUGACGGUACCUGACUAAGAAGCACCGGCUAAAUACGUG
rnacentral:rRNA from 1 species